rnacentral:lncRNA from 1 species
GCACCAAAUGACCAAAAUACAAAAGCUUUAAGAUUUUAUUUGGGGCAAGCUACUUGGUUAAGUACUUACAGGCAACAUUAUCGCAUCCAACAAACGAGUGCCACGUUUUCAUUUCCUUGUAAUUUAACUGACACCAUAUAUCUAGCACGGGCAAGAUAACCCGACCUUAGCCCGUGUUCUGCAUUCCAGCUGCAAUACCCUUCAUGGUCAAGAUAAGCGUGACUUCCAACCCGGGAGCAUACUCACUUUUAGGGUUGAGCUUCACCAGUUCAGCAGCCGGUUUUCUCAUAUCCAUUUCCAUUAUCUCUUUUGAGAGAUGUGGCCUCACCUUUACACGGUAAGUUGGAUCACGUAUCUGCUUCAACGUGUAGACUUGGCAGACGUUAAGGACGGUGAUGUACGGAUCCCGAAGUCGGAAUCUCUGCCUCGAGUAGGGAUUUCCUUCGAGAAGUUCCUUGUGUCCGGCAACCUAAGAAGAGAGGCCAUAACAGCUUCCCAUUUCAGGAUAUUUUGCAUUACUUCCAUUGAAUGGAAGUUGAACUAAUCAUGAACUAGUAGCAACUGAACUUCUUUAUCGUUAACCAAAAUAAAAAGAACGAUGAGCAUGCAAAACAAAUAAAUUAAAAUCCACCACGCAUUCUCAGCUCAAC